AUUGAACGCUGGCGGCAGGCCUAACACAUGCAAGUCGAACGGUAACAGUAAUAAGCUUGCUUCUUUGCUUCCUAGUUUCUUCCUGUUGAUUAAUUUCUUGGAAACUUCCUUAUUUAUUUUUAUAACUACUGGAAACUUUAUCUAAUACCGCAUAACUUCGCAAGACCAAAGAGUUUGACCUUCUGUCCUCUUUCCAUCUUCUUUUCCCCGCUGGGAUUCUAUAGUAUUUUGGGUAACUGCUCACCUAGGCGACGAUCCCUAGCUGGUCUGAGAGGAUGACCAGCCACACUGGAACUGAGACACGGUCCAGACUCCUACGGGAGGCAGCAGUGGGGAAUAUUGCACAAUGGGCGCAAGACUGAUGCAGCCAUGCCGCGUGUAUGAAGAAGGGAUGCGGGUUGUAAAGUACUUUCAGCGGGGAGGAAGGGAGUAAAGUUAAUAACUUUGCUAAUUGACGUUACCCGCAGAAGAAGAACCGGCUAACUCCGUG
rnacentral:rRNA from 1 species